UUGAACACUGGAUGACUGACAGCUGUCCUUCAUCACAACAGAAGACACAGAAAUCCUCCUCAUCAAAAACAUGACGUUGAUCUCCGUCCUCAUCUGGACUCUCCUCUGCUGCUGCUUCACAGAGUCCAGAGGACAGGUCACAGUGACUCAGCCUGGAGCAGUGAGCUCUACUCUGGGACGCUCCGUCUCCAUCAGCUGUAGGACCAGUCAGGAUGUUGGUGAUGCGCUUACUGAUGCGCUGUCUUUAUCCCCUUUAGCCUGGUACCAACAGAAAAAUGGUGAAGCUCCUAAACUUCUCAUUUACGGGGCUGAUGAACAAGCAUCAGGGACUCCAGAUCGUUUUACAGGCAGUGGAUCAGGGAGUGACUUCACUCUGACCAUCAGUGGAGUCCAGGCUGAAGAUGCAGCAGUUUACUACUGUCAGAGUUACCAUGAAAUCAACAGUCAGUAUGUGUUCACACAGUGAAAAAGCGUCGUACAAAAACCUCCCUCAGUCAGACUGAACUGAAACUGAACUACAGCUGGAAGCUGCUGCAGAGACUGAUACACUUCACUGAACACACACAUACAGACCAAUAAUUCUUUUAAAGUUCAACAAACACUAACAUAAGCAUUGACUAAUGAGAAAUCCUGUUAUCAUCUUUCUAAAAAUAUAUUUCCAGUUUAGGACACACACAGCAAUUCUUUCUCCAAAGGUGACACCUGCACACUGUUAGCCCUUAUCUGUGGGUG